UGCGUAGGCGGUAGAUUAAGUUGGAUGUGAAAUACCCGGGCUUAACUUGGGGGUGCAUUCAAAACUGGUUUACUAGAGUGCAGGAGAGGGAAGCGGAAUUCCUAGUGUAGCGGUGAAAUGCGUAGAUAUUAGGAGGAACACCAGUGGCGAAGGCGGCUUUCUGGACUGUAACUGACGCUGAGGCACGAAAGCGUGGGGAGCAAACAG
rnacentral:rRNA from 1 species